GAUGAACGCUGGCGGCGUGCCUAAUACAUGCAAGUCGAGCGAACAGACGAGGAGCUUGCUCCUCUGACGUUAGCGGCGGACGGGUGAGUAACACGUGGAUAACCUACCUAUAAGACUGGGAUAACUUCGGGAAACCGGAGCUAAUACCGGAUAAUAUAUUGAACCGCAUGGUUCAAUAGUGAAAGACGGUUUUGCUGUCACUUAUAGAUGGAUCCGCGCCGCAUUAGCUAGUUGGUAAGGUAACGGCUUACCAAGGCGACGAUGCGUAGCCGACCUGAGAGGGUGAUCGGCCACACUGGAACGGAGACACGGUCCAGACUACUACGGGAGGCAGCAGUAGGGAAUCUGCCGCAAUGGGCGAAAGCCUGACGGAGCAACGCCGCGUGAGUGAUGAAGGUCUUCGGAGCGGAAAACUCUGUUAUGAGGGAAGAACAAAUGUGUAAGUAACUAUGCACGUCUUGACGGUACCUAAUCAGAAAGCAACGGCUAACUACGUG
rnacentral:rRNA from 1 species